rnacentral:rRNA from 1 species
AUGCAGUCUAAGCAUAGCCGAAAUAUGGUGAAGCGCGAAUAGCUCAUUCAACAGCCGUAGUUAUUAGAUCUCAAUCCUACUGGAUACCUGUGGUAUUCUAGAGCUAAUACAUGCAAUAAGCCCUGAUCGUAAGAGAAGGGUGCAUUUAUUAGAACAAAACCAAUCGGGCUUGCCCGUCAUUUGGUGAAUCUGAAUAACUCAGCAGAUCGCACGGUCUAGUACCGGCGACAUGUCUUUCAAGUGUCUGCCUUAUCAACUUUCGAUGGUAGUUUAUGUGCCUACCAUGGUUGUAACGGGUAACGGAGAAUAAGGGUUCGACUCCGGAGAGGGAGCCUGAGAAACGGCUACCACAUCCAAGGAAGGCAGCAGGCGCGCAAAUUACCCACUCUCAGUACGAGGAGGUAGUGACGAAAAAUAACGAGGCGGAUCUCUACGAGGUUCGCCAUCGGAAUGGGUACAAUCUAAACCCUUUAACGAGGAUCUAUUGGAGGGCAAGUCUGGUGCCAGCAGCCGCGGUAAUUCCAGCUCCAAUAGCGUAUACUAAAGUUGUUGCGGUUAAAAAGCUCGUAGUUGGAUCUGCAUCCCUCGCGGUUGGGAGCUCCACUGGAUGUCUCUCAACCCGGGGAUUACCUUCUGGUUUUCCCUUGGUGCUCUUCAUCGGGUGCCUUGGGCGGCCAGUACGUUUACUUUGAAAAAAUUAGAGUGCUCAAAGCAGGCAAUUUUCUGAAUAGUGUUGCAUGGAAUAAUGUAAUAGUACCUUGUUUCUAUUUUGUUGGUUUUCGGAGCUCAUUGUAAUGAUUAUGUGGUACU